rnacentral:rRNA from 1 species
CGCCUCCUACGGGAGGCAGCAGUAGGAAAUCUUCCACAAUGGACGAAAGUCUGAUGGAGCAACGCCGCGUGAGUGAAGAAGGGUUUCGGCUCGUAAAGCUCUGUUGGUAGUGAAGAAAGAUAGAGGUAGUAACUGGCCUUUAUUUGACGGUAAUUACUUAGAAAGUCACGGCUAACUACGUGCCAGCAGCCGCGGUAAUACGUAGGUGGCAAGCGUUGUCCGGAUUUAUUGGGCGUAAAGCGAGUGCAGGCGGGUUAAUAAGUCUGAUGUGAAAACCUUCGGCUCAAACCG